rnacentral:rRNA from 1 species
GAUGAACGCUGGCGGCGUGCCUAAUACAUGCAAGUCGAGCGAACGGACGAGAAGCUUGCUUUUCUGAUGUUAGCGGCGGACGGGUGAGUAACACGUGGAUAACCUACCUAUAAGAAUGGGAUAACUUCGGGAAACCGGAGCUAAUACCGGAUAAUAUUUUGAACCGCAUGGUUCAAAAGUGAAAGAAGGUCUUGCUGUCACUAAUAGCUGGAUCCGCGCUGCAUUAGCUAGUUGGUAAGGUAACGGCUUACCAAGGCAACGAUGCAUAGCCGACCUGAGAGGGUGAUCGGCCACACUGGAACUGAGACACGGUCCAGACUCCUACGGGAGGCAGCAGUAGGGAAUCUUCCGCAAUGGAGGAAUGCCUGACGUAGCAACGCCGCGUAAGUGAUGAUGGUCUUCGGAUCGUAAAACUCUGUUAUUAGGGAAGAACAUAUGUGUAAGUAACUGUGCUCAUCUUGACGGUACCUAAUCAGAAAGCCACGGCUAACUACGUG